rnacentral:rRNA from 1 species
AUGACGUUCAGAAGAGGGUGCGGGACCAUUCAGACUCUCGCAAAGUCCCACACGUUUGUCUCUAAUUUGCGAAAGAAAUUACAUCCUCACUGUUACAGGGACCUAUAUAAGCCCGCCUUAGAUGACUUUUAUGAUCCGGACGGUCACGGAAGAUUUAAGGUUCGGUGUUUGCCAGAUGCCCUAAGUAAAAGAGAGGGAGGAAUGGGUUUCAGAGACAUGGAGGCUUUUAAUCAAUCUCUCUUAGCAAAGCAAGCUUGGCGAUUAUUACAGCAACCGACCUCGCUUUGUGCUCGCAUUCUGAAGGCGAGAUACUACCAGGACGGUUCCAUUCUAAAUGCAACUUGCCCGAAAGGUGCUUCCUUCACUUUCCGGAGCAUUUUGUAUGGACGGGAUCUGCUACUAGAAGGGUUGAUCUGGAGAGUGGGGGAUGGUUCCAGCAUACGCAUACACCAUGACAAUUGGAUACCUUGCACCGGUUAUCUUCGGCCACUGGGCCAGAUGUACGUGCCGGGGGUGACGCGGGUGUGCCACUUGAUGAACGAGACUGGUGAUGCAUGGACCGGGCCAAACUAG